rnacentral:lncRNA from 1 species
UGGCUUCGGUAAAAUCAUUAAAACCUUUAAAAAGAGGGGCUUUAAAACCUUGUAUUGAAUCUAACACUUCUAACCAUGUUUGGAAAAUUCCGUUAGUUUUUCCAUGAAUGACUACAUAGUAUUUAAACCUAGGCCUACUCUUUUCUGCCAUGUAAUGGCAUAAAGAGUUCAUGGAUGCCAUAAAAUGAUUACGAUUUUGUUUAUUAUAAGAAAUCCAAAGGUUAUCUACUAAACACCUUUGGGGUCUAUCUAAAAUGUAAUCU